rnacentral:tRNA from 1 species
GCCGAAGUGGCGGAAUAGGUAGACGCGCUACGUUCAGGGCGUAGUGAGGUUACACUCGUGUGGGUUCGAGUCCCACCUUCGGCACCC